GACGAACGCCGGCGGCAUGCCUAAUACAUGCAAGUCAAACGCUUCCGAGUGCUUGCACUCAAUGGAAGAGUGGCGGAUGGGUGAGUAACACGUGGGAAAUCUGCCUAUAAGCUGGGGGAUAACAUUCGGAAACGGAUGCUAAUACCCAAUAGCUUAUCACACCGCAUGGUGUGAUAAGGAAAGACGGUUAUGCUGUCACUUAUAGAUGAUCCUGCGGCGCAUUAGCUAGUUGGUAGGGUAAAGGCCUACCAAGGCGAUGAUGCGUAGCCGGCCUGAGAGGGUGAACGGCCACACUGGGACUGAGACACGGCCAG
rnacentral:rRNA from 1 species